UUGGGAAAAAACAUGGAGUCAGCUCCGGCAGCCCCCGACCCCGCCGCCUGCGAGCCGGGCAGCAGCGGCGCGGACGCGGCCGCCGGCUCCAGGGAGACCCCGCUGAACCAGGAAUCCGCCCGCAAGAGCGAGCCGCCCGCCCCGGUGCGCAGACAGAGCUAUUCCAGCACCAGCAGAGUGGCCUGUGGAUAUGGCAUGUCCUGUUUUAUAAGAGAGAAGUUCAGGGCAUUGAAGUGGCAUGGCCAAGGUCACACAAAAAGUAUCUCAGUAACAAAGAAGACACAUACAUCUCAAAUUGAAAUUAUUCCAUGCAAGAUCUGUGGAGACAAAUCAUCAGGAAUCCAUUACGGUGUCAUUACAUGUGAAGGCUGCAAGGGCUUUUUCAGGAGAAGUCAGCAAAGCAAUGCCACCUACUCCUGUCCUCGUCAGAAGAACUGUUUGAUUGAUCGAACCAGUAGAAACCGCUGCCAACACUGUCGAUUACAGAAAUGCCUUGCCGUGGGGAUGUCUCGAGAUGCUGUAAAAUUUGGCCGCAUGUCGAAAAAGCAACGAGACAGCUUGUACGCAGAAGUACAGAAACACCGGAUGCAGCAGCAGCAGCGAGACCACCAACAGCAGCCUGGAGAGGCCGAGCCGCUGACUCCCACCUACAGCAUCUCGGCCAACGGGCUCACGGAGCUUCACGACGACCUCAGCAGCUACAUCGACGGGCACACCCCCGAGGGCAGCAAGGCAGACUCUGCCGUCAGCAGCUUCUACCUGGACAUACAGCCUUCCCCGGACCAGUCGGGUCUUGAUAUCAACGGAAUCAAACCAGAACCAAUAUGUGACUACACACCAGCAUCAGGCUUCUUUCCCUACUGCUCUUUCACCAAUGGAGAGACGUCCCCAACUGUGUCCAUGGCAGAACUAGAACACCUUGCACAGAAUAUAUCUAAGUCACAUCUGGAAACUUGCCAAUACUUGAGAGAAGAGCUCCAGCAGAUAACGUGGCAGACCUUUCUGCAGGAGGAGAUUGAGAAUUACCAAAACAAGCAGCGGGAGGUAAUGUGGCAAUUGUGUGCCAUCAAAAUUACAGAAGCUAUACAGUAUGUGGUGGAGUUUGCCAAACGCAUUGAUGGAUUUAUGGAACUGUGUCAAAACGAUCAAAUUGUGCUUCUCAAAGCAGGUUCUCUGGAGGUGGUAUUUAUCAGAAUGUGCCGUGCCUUUGACUCUCAGAACAAUACCGUGUACUUUGAUGGGAAAUAUGCUAGCCCCGACGUCUUCAAAUCCUUAGGUUGUGAAGACUUUAUUAGCUUUGUAUUUGAAUUUGGAAAGAGUUUAUGUUCUAUGCACCUGACUGAAGAUGAAAUUGCAUUGUUUUCUGCAUUUGUCCUGAUGUCAGCAGAUCGCUCAUGGCUGCAGGAAAAGGUAAAAAUUGAAAAGCUGCAACAGAAAAUUCAGCUAGCUCUUCAACACGUCCUACAGAAGAAUCACCGAGAAGAUGGAAUACUAACAAAGUUAAUAUGCAAGGUGUCUACAUUAAGAGCCUUAUGUGGACGACAUACAGAAAAGCUAAUGGCGUUUAAAGCAAUAUACCCAGACAUUGUGCGACUUCAUUUUCCUCCAUUAUACAAGGAAUUGUUCACUUCAGAAUUUGAGCCAGCAAUGCAGAUUGAUGGGUAAAUGUAUCACCUAAGCACUUCUAGAAUGUCUGAAGUCCAAACAAUGAAAAACAAACAAACAAACAAACAAAUUAACUGAGACACUUUAUAUGGCCCUGCACAGACCUGGAGCGCCAACACACCGCACAUCCUUUGGUGAUCGGGGUCAGGCAAAGGAGGGGAAACAAUGAAAACAAAUAAAAGUUGAACUUGUUUUUCUCAUGCAUAUGAUUUCCAUUAUGCCUACAGAUAUGGACCCUUUUUCUGUCUCGACUUCUUGAUCAUUGACCUCUGUUUACAACAGAAGGCGGGUACUAAGGUCAGAGGAUGUCCUUUUUUUUGUAGCUCACUGCCCACAGACUUUCUACAUCUGUCGGUAACAACAGAGAGUCCAGCACUAAUCGGUGACUGGUGUGCAUAGCGGAGGUUGCGGCAUUACUUUGCACAACUUGCUGUUUGUCUCAUGAAGGAAGUUUUUAUUUUUUCACCGAUUAUUGCCAGUCAGCAGGAUGGCACGAAAAGGGUCCAUAGCACUAGCAACAAUAGCAUUAUAAUAUAUUACAGGGUAAAUGGGCAUGAAGACUAUAUAUAGCUAAAAGAGAUAUUGUUUAUAUAUUGUUUUAAUUAAUAUAAAAUGUAGUUACUGGUGUAGCUUUUCCUGUUGAAUUGAUAAGGCACUUUCAUUUUGCACCUUUUUUCUUUAAAUUAAAUGCUAGCGUGUUCACUGUCGUGUCGCAUGUGCACCAGAAACACAAGUUUAACUGAGAAGGCUUGGAAGGGGACAAAACACAUAUACAAGGAUCAAGCUGCC